AGAGUUUGAUCCUGGCUCAGAGCGAACGCUGGCGGCAGGCCUAACACAUGCAAGUCGAGCGCCGUAGCAAUACGGAGCGGCAGACGGGAGAGUAACACGUGGGAACGUGCCCUUUGGUUCGGAACAACCCAGGGAAACUUGGGCUAAUACCGGAUAAGCCCUUACGGGGAAAGAUUUAUCGCCGAAGGAUCGGCCCGCGUCUGAUUAGCUAGUUGGUGGGGUAAUGGCCCACCAAGGCGACGAUCAGUAGCUGGUCUGAGAGGAUGAUCAGCCUCACUGGGACUGAGACACGGCCCAGACUCCUACGGGAGGCAGCAGUGGGGAAUAUUGGACAAUGGGCGCAAGCCUGAUCCAGCCAUGCCGCGUGGGUGAUGAAGGCCCUAGGGUUGUAAAGCCCUUUCGGCGGGGAAGAUAAUGACGGUACCCGCAGAAGAAGCCCCGGCUAACUUCGUGCCAGCAGCCGCGGUAAUACGAAGGGGGCUAGCGUUGCUCGGAAUCACUGGGCGUAAAGCGCACGUAGGCGGAUUGCUAAGUCAGGGGUGAAAUCCUGGAGCUCAACUCCAGAACUGCCUUUGAUACUGGCGAUCUCGAGUCCGGGAGAGGUGAGUGGAACUGCGAGUGUAGAGGUGAAAUUCGUAGAUAUUCGCAAGAACACCAGUGGCGAAGGCGGCUCACUGGCCCGGUACUGACGCUGAGGUGCGAAAGCGUGNGGAGCAAACAGGAUUAGAUACCCUGGUAGUCCACGCCGUAAACGAUGGAUGCUAGCCGUUGGUGGGUUUACCCAUCAGUGGCGCAGCUAACGCAUUAAGCAUCCCGCCUGGGGAGUACGGUCGCA
rnacentral:rRNA from 1 species